rnacentral:misc_RNA from 1 species
GAUGAAGAACGCAGCGAAAUGCGAUACGUAAUGUGAAUUGCAAAUUCAGUGAAUCAUCGAGUCUUUGAACGCACAUUGCGCCCCCUGGUAUUCCGGGGGGCAUGCCUGUCCGAGCGUCAUUGCUGCCCUCAAGCACGGCUUGUGUGUUGGGCCCCGUCCUCCGAUUCCGGGGGACGGGCCCGAAAGGCAGCGGCGGCACCGCGUCCGGUCCUCGAGCGUAUGGGGCUUUGUCACCCGCUCUGUAGGCCCGGCCGGCGCUUGCCGAUCAACCCAAAUUUUUAUCCAGGUUGACCUCGGAUCAGGUAUGGAUACCCGCUGAACUUAAGCAUAUCAAUAAGCGGAGGA